rnacentral:rRNA from 1 species
UACGUAGGGUGCAAGCGUUAAUCGGAAUUACUGGGCGUAAAGCGUGCGCAGGCGGUUAUGCAAGACAGAUGUGAAAUCCCCGGGCUCAACCUGGGAACUGCAUUUGUGACUGCAUGGCUAGAGUGCGGCAGAGGGGGAUGGAAUUCCGCGUGUAGCAGUGAAAUGCGUAGAUAUGCGGAGGAACACCGAUGGCGAAGGCAGCCCCCUGGGCUAACACUGACGCUCAGGCACGAAAGCGUGGGGAGCAAACAGG